rnacentral:misc_RNA from 1 species
AAAUUUGAUUACAAUUACAUAUCAUGAGAACUUAAGACUAAGGAUUCUGGCAUCCGAAGACGCCGGGGACCCGAACAAGGCUUUCUUUUAGCCCAUUGGUACCUUAUAACUAAGGAAAGGAUGCCAGACUGAAUCUCUUCCGACUUCCUUUGUGAACACCUUACUAGUACUUUUGGCAGGCGAUGUCCGAUCUCUUUUCGCCUACUGGCCUG